UAAGACAGAGGUGCCAAGCGUUAGGCGGAAUCACUGGGCUUAAAGCGUGUGUAGGUGGAUCGUUAAGUGCCUUGUGAAAUCCCACGGCUCAACCGUGGAAUGGCUUGGCAUACUGGCGGUCUUGAGCCAUUCAGGGGCUACUGGAACAAACGGUGGAGCGGUGAAAUGCGUAGAUAUCGUUUGGAACGCCAAAGGUGAAAACAGGUAGCUGGGGAUGUGCUGACACUGAGACACGAAAGCCAGGGGAGCAAACGGGAUUAGAUACCCCGGUAGUCCUGGCCCUAAACGAUGUCCACUAGAUCGUGGUGGCUCUGACGUUAUCACGGUCGAAGCAAAAGUGCUAAGUGGACCGCCUGGGAAGUACGGUCGCAAGGCUA
rnacentral:rRNA from 1 species